GGCAGACGAGCGUACGGCCCACCUGAUGGUU
rnacentral:sRNA from 1 species